GGAGUUGGGCAGACGACCGCUGGCUGCCAUUUGGCAGCGAGAGGAAAGUCCGGGCUCCACAGGACAGGGUGGUCGAUAACGUCGACCGGUCGUGAGAUCAGGGACAGUGCCACAGAAAACAGACCGCCGCUGCGGGCAUGAGCCCCCGUCAAGGUUUGAUUGUCUGCAUGCGGUAAGGGUGAAACGGUGCGGUAAGAGCGCACCAGCAGUCGAGGCGACUCGGCUGGCUAGGUAAACCCCGCCCGGAGCAAGACCAAGCAGAGAGCAUGUUGUCGGUGUCACAGCCGACAGCCGGAAUCGGUUCGGUUUCGUAUGACUCUCGGGUAGGUUGCCGGAGCUAGCGAGCAAUUGCUAGCCUAGAGAAAUGGUCGUCAGACGUUUUCGAUCCGUCGAAGACGCCAACAGAACCCGGCUUAUUGCCUGACUCCGAAA
rfam:Pirellula staleyi DSM 6068, complete genome.